AUGGUCUCUCCCAGUGACGUUGGACCAUAUCACGCAGACCUGUUUCUCUCGAUGUCUAUAAAACCAUUUCCCCAAAAGGGACUUAAGGUUAUAGUUCUUUGGGUUUUAUCUAAGAAAUCUUUGACCGUUAGUGAAGUUAAGAGUGUGAGAACAUUGAGAAUCCUGUUAAGGUGGCAUAAUCUCCCAUACAGGAGGGACUGCAGAGAUUGUACAUUGAAAUUGACAUGUGUAUACUCUGUUGGGAGCCUAAUAGGACAAUGUGUUUAGCUUGGGGAAGACUUUCUAGGUGGGUUUUUUAAACUUCAAAGCACAAAUAAAGGUUUUUUUUUUUUUUUUUAAUUGACUCACUGCCUGGUUGGUUACUUGUUCUUUGACAUUUGGAAAACACAUUCUUAGGAUUUUUGCAGGAUAAUAACCCUAAUUAUAGACUUUGAUAUUUUCUGUUUUCAUAGUUGCCUGCUAAUUCGUAGCCCCACUAAUGCUACCCACAAACAUUGUGUUUGCUUUUACUUCAAAUUUAAAGAAGUGCUGUGUUCCUGGCACUUGCAGUUUUGAUGGGGCGGGUAAACAAAAUGUCAAAGCACUGGUGGAAUAGCUGGCGAUAGGGCUUCCCUGUCACUGUAUGAUGGGAUGGGGUUCCAG
rnacentral:lncRNA from 1 species